rnacentral:rRNA from 1 species
UACGUAGGGGGCAAGCGUUGUCCGGAUUUAUCGGGCGUAAAGAGCGUGUAGGCGGCCAUACAGGUCCGUUGUGAAAACUGGAGGCUUAACCUCCAGACGUCGAUGGAAACCGUAUGGCUAGAGUCCGGAAGAGGAGAGUGGAAUUCCUGGUGUAGCGGUGAAAUGCGCAGAUAUCAGGAAGAACACCAAUGGCGAAAGCAGCUCUCUGGGACGGUACUGACGCUGAGACGCGAAAGCGUGGGGAGCGAACAGG